UAAGUGUAAAUAUAAAUAUAUAUAUUUAUAUAUUAAAUAGUUUUAUUAAAUUAAUUAAAGAAAAGAAAGAAAAGAAAGGACAAAAAGAAGAAAAGGAGAAGAAAAUUUCAUUUUCUCUUUUCUUCUUCUUCUUCUCUUCCCUUCACCGCCAAGAGUUUGAAGACAUCCAAGUUCCCUUUAUUUUUUUUUUCUUUUUCCUUCUUCAAUUUGCAGAGAACUUCUAAGAGAGAGUUUGGAAGAAGAAGAGAAAUUUUUACUAGAAUUUUUAGGUUGAAGAAGAGGAGGAGAACUCAAGCAAAGUGUAUCAAUGGCUGAAUUUUAGUUCAUUCUGCACAUCACUGGUUUUUAAUUCGGUUUUAACUCUUCAAAAGGAAUUAAGAGGGCAGUUGGUUUUCACUCGAAAUCAAGAGGUCUCUGGUGUUUCUUGUAUUUCAGAGUGUAUCGGUGGAGUUAGAAUCUCUAUUUGCUAUGGAACAAGUUAAAGAGGUCGUGUGCGCGCGAUUCUGGAAGUGGUUCUGUUUUGAGGGUUAUAUGUCUUUAUGCACGGAGAAUCAGAUUUAUAUGUCUUCAGGCCGAGAAGAAUUAAACCGAGCUUAUAGACCAAGGAUCUAGCCCAAGACUGUAGAGAUCGACUUCCCGGUGCCUGAUAGACUGCCUUAGUCUGCGGAAGCUUCAUUAUCGAUUGCCAGUACGUGUUUUGAGUUGGGCAUAAAGUCUGUUGUGUUGUAAUGUAUUCACACCCUUGUAUGUUAUAGAUACUCCACAGUUUGUAUAAGCUUUAGGAGCUGUAGUUGUGUAAAUUUUGUUGGUUAUAUUUUGAUUAAGGUGUCUUUAGGUUUACUCGUGAAAUCGGUAAAUUUUGAAGUACACUUCAUAUAUGUGUUUGACUAGCUGUGUUUGACUAGCCUAGGAUCCGCUGUGUUUUGUGGCAUGUACAAUAGUUUAUAUACUAGAUUGGCAAGUUCAUCACAUGAAAGUUUUAAGCAGAGUCGACAGUUACAGGUACAGAAAAACGUUGUUCGUCGGCUUCACGCCAUCUUUCGGUCUAAGGUAGCAGGUAGUCCGGGAGGGGGUGUGACAUUCCUCUUAUUCCUUUUACGAAGAACAUGAACCAUUCCCACGAAUUGGUUUCAGGCUUCUCAUCCGCUUAAUUAUACUUCGUCGAUUCAUCAUUAUUAAGGAUCUAUUUUUUGCGACUUGCAAUGCGAGUAAACUAAGUUAUGUAAUAAAAAGUGCUAACUUUGCCUAUAGGCGAGGACCAUGGUAUAA